rnacentral:rRNA from 1 species
AAACUUAAAUGAAUUGACGGGGACCCGCACAAGCGGUGGAGCAUGUGGUUUAAUUCGAAGCAACGCGAAGAACCUUACCAAAUCUUGACGUCCUCUGACCCCUCUAGAGAUAGAGUUUUCCCCUUCGGGGGACAGAGUGACAGGUGGUGCAUGGUUGUCGUCAGCUCGUGUCGUGAGAUGUUGGGUUAAGUCCCGCAACGAGCGCAACCCUUAAGCUUAGUUGCCAUCAUUAAGUUGGGCACUCUAAGUUGACUGCCGGUGACAAACCGGAGGAAGGUGGGGAUGACGUCAAAUCAUCAUGCCCCUUAUGAUUUGGGCUACACACGUGCUACAAUGGACAAUACAAAGGGCAGCGAACCGCGAGGUCAAGCAAAUCCCAUAAAGUUAGUUCUCAGUUCGGAUUGUAGUCUGCAACUCGACUACAUGAAGCUGGAAUCGCUAGUAAUCGUAGAUCAGCAUGCUACGGUGAAUACGUUCCCGGGUCUUGUACACACCGCCCGUCACACCACGAGAGUUUGUAACACCCGAAGCCGGUGGAGUAACCAUUUUAUGGAGCUAGCCGUCGAAGGUGGGACAAAUGAUUGGGGUGAAGUCGUAACAAGGUAGCCGUAUCGGAAGGUGCGGCUGGAUCACCUCCUUUAUGAG